CCGAAUCUUGAUUUUUGUGUUCAUGGCAUGCUACUGUUAGCUAUUGAUAACGUUUACAAGCAUAACUUAAACUAUCGUUAACUAAACUAAGGACGUUAUGGCUUGUUGCUAGUUCGGUUACACACAGUUAUUUUAGUUAUUUUGUUCAUUUAGUCAAGUAAAGUCGUGUAAAAUGCUUCCACUUGCCAUCGCCGUUUAACGUUAGCCUAUUUAGCUGCAGAUUUGGGCAGUGCAACCCAAUUUUCCCGCUUCGCGCCGUCUGCUGUGGAAUAUCGAUAUCUGCUCAAAUUAAAACAUUUUUAAAUUCAGCAACAAAAUCUUACAUGACCUGUUCCAUAAAUGUUUUUUCUUAUGCUCAAACAGCAUUUAAAAAUAUUUCUUCAGGCUAGACCAUCACGUCUUGCUCAGCGUUUUUAUGCUGCCUUCACAUGCUAUCGGAGUUAUGGUAAAUAUUAGUAACUGGUUACUAAUUGGUCAUGAACACACUCUCAAAUUAAAAUUUGAGUGCGACGAGCUCCGUUUGCUAUAGAAACAGCGCGCAUGACACUGACUGUUUUUAUAGCAACCGGAGGCCGACGCUUCAGUGGCAGCUGCAGUGAAUGAUAACUUCAUUAGUCAGGGAUUGGUUUUUAUUUAGAAGUUUGGGCUUGUCUGCCUUAUUGCGCGUUGCUCUUUCUCCCAUUCAUAAGUAAUAUAAGCGCACCGUCUUGGGCUUAUCUUCGUUUAGCUAGUAGGCGUUCAUAGAGUUAAGCUAAACUUUAAUUUCCCACACAUUUGGGCACACUGAAGUCUGUCUGUGUUUUACAGUUAUUCGUCUAUGACUGUUGUAAUUUUCCGUGUUUUCAGAAAAUGACAGUGAAUGUUUGGCUACCUGUUUGAUGGUUCCUCCAAAAAGCAACUAAAAUUUCAACAGUUUGUAUGCCAAUAAAAGGAGAGUGAAACCAUUGUUUAAGUCGCUCAGUCUACGGCAGAACUCCAGCCUCAUCCUUCCACUGAUCCACGUGUUGAAGCAGCUCACAGCUCACCUGUUGUGACUGUCAUUCCAACCUUUCCCAAAGAUGUCCAGGCAAGCCUUGACAUCAAGGAACCGUGUUACACAGUGCCAAUAGUAUGCAACGAAAUAAGAGCAAUGUAUGAAGUGAUGGCAUAAUACACCCUGUAAGUAUAACCAUUAUUACCACCUUUGCUACUACAACUGUACUACUUAAGAUCAAUUCCCAAUCUAUGAAGACUGUUGGGCAAAACCAAGAGACUGAUUUAGAGUUUGUUUCUGCCUUUGUACUAGGUAUCCAACUAAUGCAGUUUAUUCAAGUCAAGGCACUGAUUAUGAAAUACCCUUUCCUGAGAGAUAAGGAGGGAAAUGGCUAUGUAAGUUGCAUUGUUUUUAAGCCAUUGAUUAAUCUCUGUCUACAUAAUUGCACAAGAUAUUUUUAUUUUACCUUUACUUGCUGGAAUAUGCCAAAUAGUCAAUUUUUUUUUUUUUUUUUUUUUUUUUUUUUUUUUU